rnacentral:lncRNA from 1 species
AACAGCCAAUUGGUUCCAGACCACACAAACAAUACAGUUUCAAAACUCAAUACAGUAACUAUAACCUAUUAAGCUAAUCAAUUUCCAAACAACACCAACAGUACACUGUGUUCAGAUGGUUACCUUAUCCAAUGUUGAGUAGAAUCUUGAUGAUUACAGUGACAGAAGCUUGAUGAUCCCAAAAGCUCCUUAACAGCAGAAACCCUAAACAAGAACGAGAAACAGAAACGUUAAUUGCUUCUGGGAAAAGAACAGAAAUGCAUAUAUGGAAAAUCAGAAACCCUAAUCGGCUUACCUUGUUCUAACCCUACAGUACUCGCACCAAAACUUGAUGGAUGAUGAUGGCCACAGUCCACAGAUUGACAGCUCCAAAACCUCCACAAUACACAUGCACGAACACAAAGAGUCAAGGACUGGAGUUUUAACCCUUUAUUUCAGCAGAAAACCUUCAGACUCAAUGAAAAAACGAAUCAAAAACCUACACAACUUACUCUCUGUUUUUUCUUAGUAGUGGUCGUUGCUAGGAGUCUGCAUGUGGCUCGAUGUUAAGGUACUGCUCCCAACACAGAAAGGGGACCCUAUAUAUAGAGGACAAGUUGUGAGAAACUCAUAAUACACGAAGAAGAAGGAAAGAAUAAGUGCAUGCAUCGAUAUUAUAUGACUUAUCUGUGAUAAUAAUCGAAGAAUCAGGGGAGAUAUGAACCCUAAUCGGUAAAUAAUCAUUUUUGGGAGUUGUAAUCGACGAAAUCGUCGGAUUGAUAGGUCAAAUGUGUUGAAAACAAGAGAACAGAGGAAGGAAUUAACGAAUUCGUCGGAGAUUUCAUGGGAAAUCGUCCGAUUUUUCGUCGGAGAAGGGUUUCAUCGAGAGGAAAUCGCGAUGGAGAAGGGUUUCAGUUGAGAGAAAAGGGGAUUUGGACGGCUAGGGUUUCAGAAGACAGUCGGAAGGGGAAGCUGCUGCGCGUUUUUGGUUUAUAUAUCAAAGCCAAAACGCGGUCGUUUAGAUCACGGUUAACCAACGGUUUGGCCGCGGGCCGGAUUCCGCGAAAACCAACCCCACCCGGUACCCGUGUCUGCCGGUUUUCGGGUUACCCGCGAACCAUUUCCGGGUCCAAAAUCCGGGCCAAAAAGCCCACAUUUCGGGUAGAGUCCACGGUUACCCAUCGCGGGCCAACCCAGAUGCCAUCCC